rnacentral:rRNA from 1 species
AUUGAACGCUGGCGGCAGGCCUAACACAUGCAAGUCGAGCGGAGCGCCGGACGGGGGAGGAAGGUCAAGGUCUGUGCCAGGGCGUGGGGGAUAACGUCAGGAACCGGGCGCUAAUGCCACAUACGAUCAGAUGAGACUAGGUCGGAUUAGCGAGUUGGUGGGGUAAAGGCCUACCAAGGCGACGGUCCUUAUCUGGUCUGAGAGGAUGAUCAGUCACACUGGAACUGGGACACGGUCCAGAAUCCUACGGGAGGCAGCAGUGGGGAAUAUUGGACAAUGGGCGAAAGCCUGAUCCAGCCAUGCCGCGUGUAUGAAGAAGGUCUUCGGAUUGUAAAGCACUUUAAGUUGGGAGGCGUUACCAGCAGAAUAAGCACCGGCUAACUUCGUGCCAGCAGCCGCGGUAAUAC